UUCUCUCUCCGCCCUCUCAGUUUGGUUCAGGGUGGGGCACACGGUGGGUCCCCUGCGGCCCGGUCCAGUGUGGUGGCAGCACUGAGGAGGGCCCAUUAUGUGUCAGAGCUUUUGUGCCUGUUCCAGCUACUGGGUGUGGCACCACUGCCACCCGGUGCAAAGGCCAAGGGUCCCCACUCAGUGCAGACAAGGGUCUGGGAAGGGGACUCGGCAGCUUUUGCUCUGUGACUGGGCCCCUGCCCCACCUGGAACCCAGGCCUGCCCAGCACAUGACUAGCAUGCCCCCUGCAGACCCUGGGGAUUCUUGCUGGGGACCCCACAAGGAGCCUGACAGAUAAUCCCUAUACAGUAGCCUUGACCUCCUUCAAGGUCAGGGGUGGUGGGCAUAGGCUGCCAGCAAGCCAUGAAGACUGCUACAGGGAAAGAAAGCAUGCCUGUGUGGGCAAAGAAGCAGAAAGCCAAGGCCCCUUCUUGCGGGCAGAGGCUCCAGGAGGAACCCGGCCCCUAUUCAGCUUUCAACGGGAUGUUUGACCAAUUGAUGUUACCCGUGGGCCUCGCACAAGGAGCUGAACCUGUGUAGGGAGAAACGGAGCAUGAGCAGGGGAGGUGCAGAGAGAAGGAGCCACAGAAUCCAAAGCUGUCAGCACAGAGCCCGACGCGGGGCUCGAACUCCUGGACAGCGAGAUCAUGACCUGAGCUGAAAGUUGGACGCUUAACCGAGUGAGCCACCCAGGAACUCCUGGUGUUUACAUUUUUAAAUGGCUGAAAAGAAAUCAAAGGCAGAAUAAUGCAUGACAUGAAAAUGGGAGAUCCAAAUUUAGUGCCUGUAAAUAAAGUUUUAUUGGAAGACA